GAUGAACGCUGGCGGCGUGCCUAAUACAUGCAAGUCGAGCGAACGGACGAGAAGCUUGCUUCUCUGAUGUUAGCGGCGGACGGGUGAGUAACACGUGGAUAACCUACCUAUAAGACUGGGAUAACUUCGGGAAACCGGAGCUAAUACCGGAUGAUAUUUUGAACCGCAUGGUUCAAAAGUGAAAGACGGUCUUGCUGUCACUUAUAGAUGGAUCCGCGCUGCAUUAGCUAGUUGGUAAGGUAACGGCUUACCAAGGCAACGAUGCAUAGCCGACCUGAGAGGGUGAUAGGCCACACUGGAAGUGAGACGGGGUCAAGACUCCUACGGGAGGCAGCAGUAGGGAAUCUGCCGCAAUGGGCGAAAGCAUGACGGAGCAACGCCGCGUGAGUGAUGAAGGUCUUCGGAUCGUAAAACUCUGUUAUUAGGGAAGAACAGAUGUGUAAGUAACUGUGCACAGAUUGACGGUACCUAAUCAGAAAGCCACGGCUAACUACGUG
rnacentral:rRNA from 1 species